rnacentral:lncRNA from 1 species
CCGCCGCGAUCCCUGCGCACCACGGCCCUGCCCGCCACGGGGCGAGCCCGAUAAGAGGGCUGUGGACGUUCGGGUCUAGUUGGGAGAGACAGGGGUCCCUGACUCUUGAGCGGUCAGUCAUUUCCUCCCCAGUCCUUGUGGGUGACGUGGCUACGGUUUGGAGCAGCAAGCCCCCUCCCCGAACUAAAGGGCCUCUCCAAAGGUUAAGCCAGGGCAGUCAUUGAGGUCAAAACCAAUAUGUAGUUUCUUGACUGCAGGUGCCUGCACGACUCCCAGAAAGUCGCGUCUCCCCUAACCCCCAUGCCCAGGACCUGAGGACAAAGGUCUAGCGAUUGUCCAUCCCCUCCCCCAGUGAGGACAGCCGGGAAAGACCUGCCUUUGUUGUGUACAGGUGGUAUCUCACUGUGUUAUCCAGACUGGACUCAAAUUUCUGGGCUCCAAUGGUCCUCUCACCUCAGCCUCCCAAGUAGUCAGGACUACAGAACUCCAUGGCAAUGUUUUGAGGAUUAAAGAGGAGAGUGAUGACUAUCCAAACGUCAGAGAACGCAACUAUGAGACUAGAGACACUGGAAAACUAAAAAAGUAACGGGCCUUUGCUGACUCAGGGAGAUGAUUUCCCAAGAGGGAAGAAAACUGGAACCUGAGAAAUAAGUGAUUUAGUAAUGUGGCUGCUAAAAUACGGAAAAACUAGAAUGAAUGGCUUACACAUUUUUGAAAUGAAGUUAGAAGAGGGUUAUACUGUGAAGAAGAAUGAAAAAGCCAAACAUUUCAUUCAGCUUUUUGGAAUGUUAGCAAGAUUUCACAAUGCAGACAUCUCAGUUUGAGACAGCUUGAUUGAUUUCCUGAUUUCCAGGAAAACAGAGCUAUCAUCUUGUUCCUGCUUCGUUGUUUACUGGCAUAAAUAUGCAGUUCUUACAAAAUGUGAAAUGGCUGCUGAAGAAGUAAAAUUUAAUUCUUUUUGAUAUAUUGUUCCAAAUCCCCGCAAAAAUGAAGAAACCAGUGGAGAAACUUUAUUCCUCCCUUCCCAAAAAUGAAUGUGAAGAAUUGUGGAAGAUUUUGUUCCUUUGGGAGUUUGUACAUGAACUAAAGGCUCUGAACCAGUCUGUUGGGCCCCAGAGUCAGAUGGGAAUAAGCACGGUUCACCUCCAUACUUGCGUGUUAUACCUACACAGCCCAACCAAAAACUGGAGGGCAGCAGCCGUGUUUUGUAGGUCCCAUAUUCCCAAGAGUAUUAACAUCAUCCACAAGUGUUUUUGAGUACCCACUGAUAGAACCACAACAAUAGUAAAAAUAGCUAAUAUUUACUGUGCACUCUGUAUGCACUUUACCCUCACUAGUUCUAUGAGCUGAGCUCUUCCAAGAUUCCAUCUUGGAGAAGGAAAAUAAGGCUCAGAGGAGGAAAAUACCCUGCUCCAAAAUGCAUGGUGUGACAAGCAGGCUUACAUGCCCAGUUAUUUGGUUAAACAGUCUAGAUGUUGCUGCAAAGAAAUUUUGUAGAUGGAAUUAGCAUUUACAAUCAGUUGGUUGUAGCAGAUUACCCUCCCUACUGAGGGUGGGCCUCAACCAAUCAGGAAAAGGCCUUAAGAGCAAAGUUGAGGUUUCUAGAAGGAAUUCUGACUCAAGACUACAACAUAGAGAUCUUGCCUGAGUUUCCAGCCUGCCUGGCCUGCUCUAUGAAUUUCAGAUUCAAGAUUGCAACAUCAACUCUUACCUGAAUUGCUAGCCAGCUGGUCUGUCCUACAAACUUCAGACUUGCUAAUCCCCAGCAAUCUUGUCAGCCAAUUCCUAAAAAUAAAUAAGGAUAGAUAGAUAUAUAGAUAGAUAGAUAAUAGAUAGAUGAUAGAUACAGAU